AUUAGACUACCCGUGUACGUCCCAGCCCUAAACGAUGCGCGUUAGGUGUAUCGGUGACCACGAGUCGCCGAGGUGCCGAAAGGGAAACCGUAGAAACGUGCCGCCGUGGGAAGUACGGUCGCAAGGCUAGAAACUUAAAGGAAUUGGCGGGGGAGCACCACAACGGGUGGAGCCUGCGGUUUAAUUGGACUCAACGCCGGGAAGCUCACCGGAUAAGACAGCGGAAUGAUUGCCGGGCUGAAGACCCUGCAUGACCAGCUG
rnacentral:rRNA from 1 species